UUAGAUAACUCCCAGAAUCUGCAAUGGUC
rnacentral:piRNA from 1 species